CACAACAAUCCCAAUGUCAGCAGUGCCACGAGAUGAGACCCUCAGCCUUGAGAAACUGGAAAAGAUGAAGAGAGGAGAAAAUGAGCAGAGGGCACUGCCUGCUUAUGUCCAUGUGCUUCUUUUCCACCUCAGAAACAACACAGCAUCUUUUGUCGUCUUUGAUGCUGCCUCUCCCGUAUUGAUUACGCUUUAUUAUUCCUGAAGACUCGAGUGUGUGACGUAAGUAACCCUAUGUCGGACCCAAGCCCAGUAGGAUAAACGAAAACGGGAGGGCAAAUUGGAACAUGUACCGUAACAACGAGAGCAUUCUUUCUAUGACUUGAAAAAGUCUUCAGAUCCUUGGUUUAAUUUAAUCAGCAAUACGUUCAUCUGCAUAUGGCAUUUAGCAGCAAAGUAAACUUUUUUUCCUGAGUCGUUUGUUUCCAAAUCAGUGGGAACAAAGGAUAUCCCAGUUCCAUUCAAGCAGUUUCAAUGAUUCUCAAACAAACGUGGGAGUCAUAGCUGAGCCAUUUAAAAUAUACAGUGAUGAGAAAGCAUACUUGGUAAUCUUGUCAACAUUCCUUUAAGGAGAAUAUCCAAGUGUCCUUUUACUAUAAUAACGCUUUGUACUUUGAAAUGUUCAGAUGUCAAUAAAAUAGAAUUGAACACAACAGCCUAGAAGAAUGCCGUUUCCAAGUUUUCUAGUAAUGGUGCUGUGAAAACAGUAUGUAUUUUUCAGUUUAACACUCCGAAAAUCAAAUUUCCUCACCCCAAGAUUGGCUCCAUUUACACAAAGCACUUUGGACCCAUAUUUAACCAACCAUCAAAAGUGAUUCAAAAGAAGGCUAAUUGAACACUGAGGUUUUUGAAGCUCUCAAAUGAUGACCCAGGUUUUUUCUUGAAAACACUCACAGCGGCAGCUUGGCAGGAAGCAGGAAUGAAACCUGCCCUCCAAACUGGAAGAAAAACUUCCAAUAACAAACUGCGAGGUUUGAGAUCACUGCAUGUUAUAUUAUUCAUUAUUCAAAUGGCCUCUAGCCCUAUUACACAGCCUUUUCUCUGGCGUCUGAGCUGCCCCAAGAAAUGUACUUUAGUAAGACCGAGCCCCCCUUUCAGAGGAAAGGAGAACCUCCUUAUCUCCGCGUUCUGCCUCCCUGUCUCUGCGUUCUAUCUGUUCUAUCUCUGUUCCAUCUGCGUGUUUUGCAAUCUCCUCAGUGUUCCAAAGGCCAAUGAAAUCUCUCUCCCACAGGGGCCAGCGAUGGCAGACCUCAACCAAAUAAAAGUUAUGCAAAGGCAAGCUGGAAAAUCUGCACAGGGGAGAUUUCACCAAGAGGAGAGGGGCCUGAUAUUUUCCGUCUAAAUCCUUAGGCCUCACUCCAGCCUACAAAGACAAGUGGCAGGAAACUUAACAGCGAUAAUCAAAUGAGCUCAGCCAGCCUCGGGAUGGUUCUUGUAAGAACUGUGUGUGUGGAGAAGGGAUGCAGGCUUUCUGCCCAGGAGAACCUAGAGAGAAAAAACUGCUCUUCCCAAAAUCCCUGAAGUCUGCUGCCAGGGGCUCAGUACAUGCCUGACCAAAAAGAGAAAACUGCCCACCUAACCGGUUCGGCUGUUUCCUGGCUACUACGGACAGAAGCAGACAGAACCUUAUCAUUUCAGUUAUGUCUAACUUGGACAUUAUUUUCAAGUAAAUAUUGGUAAUUUCAAGGCUCUUUCCUUGCCGUGUGACCUGGCGUGACGGACAAUGCUGUCUCCGAGGAAGCUGACUCCAUAGCAACAAGCCAGGGAAGCCUGCACCUUCCACCCAGGGGGCCUCCCACGAGCAUUUUGGAGACUCGGGACUUUGCAGUUAUCUUGUCAGGGGGUGGCUGAGGGAAGAAGCUUCUUCCUUUGCCCUCUGGGCCCCUCCCAGCGGUCUGGGUUUCUGUGGAUCACGCUGUGCUUCUCAAUGAAUCCAGCGCUGGGCAUUUUUCUCUUUUCAUUCAGGAAGUGGUGAGCUGAGCCCUGAGAUUCUUUCUGCUCCGAUGAUAUAAACAAAUUGUAGAGGAAGUCAAGUCAAAUUUUCCCUUGCUGGUUUUGUUCUCCCAACUAGCAAUUCAGAAAACAGAGCCAACUUUUUUUUUUUUUUUUUUUUUUUGGAUGCCUUUUAAAGAUUGCUGUUAACUGGAAAGACAAGAAACCCUUGUAG
rnacentral:lncRNA from 1 species